UGCGGGCUGGACUCGGACAGC
rnacentral:misc_RNA from 1 species